GGAUUAUGCCCUGAAAUGGGGUGUGUGUGUGUGUGUGUGUGAUUUGUCCAGCAACUGGUAAUCCACUUAGAAUUCUCACCUAGUAACCUCUCCUGCCUGGAGGCAGUGUCCAAGAUGUCUUCUCUUUCCCUUCCCAGGCUCUCACCAUCCAGACCCUUCUUGGGUCUGUCCCCAAACUGCUGGUGGGAAGCUUCUUUGACCUGGAUGGACGAGUGAAUAUUCAUCUCCUGGAGCUCAUCCUUCCUAAACAACUCUGAAUCAGAAACUCAUAACAUAAAAUCAAUCGUUGAGCAUUU